GGGGGCAGUCCACGGUGGCAGGGAAGGCGUGAGCAUUAGGCAAGUGGUCACAUUGCAUCCACAGCCAAGAAGCAGAAAUCCAUGUACUAGAGCUUAAGCUCGAUUGUUGAGGGGUGUCCACUAGGCAAGACUACUCCAACAUGAAUUUAAAGCAACAGAACACCUUUGUUAGCUGGCCGGCAACUACACCGGUUGUCAAAAUCCCAGAGAGUCUCGAGCCUUUCUCGGGAUGAGCUUUUAAACACAAAAAAACUAUAUCCUGGGUUGUUAUACUUCAGUAAACAAGAACAGUCGUUAAUGAGAAGCAAAGCUACAGAAGCCAAAAAGCAAGUCCUGGACCUCACCCUCCCCGAAGGUGCUGCCCACAUUUAGGAUGGGUCCUCGUGCUUCUGUUAAACCUCUCUGGAAACAAGCUCCCAGACACACCAAAAGCCUUGCCUCCUGAUCGAUUCUCAAAACAGUCAAGAUGCGGUCAGGACUGGGCCAACUCAGCUCCACAGCACCCCCUGGAGGUCAAUGGAGACAUGACACUCAGCAGCCGAGCCGACUUCUUCCUCCUUCAGCUUCCUUUUCUGUCCAGCUGAGCCAGCCUUAUGCUGACCAGAGGAAUCAUGAGAGAAAACCUGUCUGGGAGCAGCAGAACCCACACUCCAGACUGCUUCCUGGCCUUCCUAGGGCAGCAAAGAGGAUUGAACCCAUAGUAUUGCAAGAGGAAGAACUCAGGAAGGCCAGAGGCUCAAAGUUCCACCUGUGCAAGCCUGGGCUUAUGCAUCUUCUUCUGUGGUCAACAGGAGUCUGGGGGAGGUGCUGUCUUCCAAGAAAGAGCACUUCCCUCCCAGCUGUAAAACUAGUUUAUCUGACAAUUUCCUGGUGUAUAAUGUGUCCACAAGGGGGCGCUGCAGCCAUAGCUGUGAAGCAGCCAGUGCUGGAUCCUGUCCACACCAGCCUUUAGCCUGUCCCAGGUUGCCUCCAGGACAGCUGAUCCUCCUGCCUAGGAGUAGCCAGCCUGCUAGAGACACAGUAUAUUCAACAGUAUAUUCAAAACUACAGUCCUCUCAUGUCUCAUUUCUGCUGGGAGUAGAAUUCAGGGCCACCCUUGGACAGCAAAACUCUAGCCCAGACUAGGAACGCAUACCCAAUGAGAUCCAGAAGCCUGUGUAAGCCCCUCCCCCUUAGGUUUUAACCAGGUGCCUAAAGCUCGAAUCCAGGCGCUACCUAUCCCUGCUAGCUUUGUUUGUCAAUCUUCCCCCACCACAGCCUGUGGUCACUGGACGUGGUUGCUGUGUCACCUGCAAGUGGCAUGGGGUGCCCAUGGGAACAGGGACUGUCACCUGGAAGGGCACGGUAUGGAUUACAGUGUAGCCUUCUGGGAGCAGUGGCUCUAAAGCAGACCUCUGUCUACUUGAUUGCACCUGAUGCAUCUAAUGGGCUUUGAAACUUUUCCUCUGGAAAUUCCACGGUAGCAGCAAUGCCUUUGUUGCGCUUGUUGCAAAGGGGAAUGCGCCAGCUCAGGGGGCGACAUGCAUGACUGUGAGGACAUCAGAGAAAACCAAGAGUGAUGGUCUGGUCUGGGCACUUGGGACAAUAACACGGUUCUUGUCUGAUCAUUUGCUGGGGGGGACAGAGAUACUGAGAAUUUGGGGCAGGGGAAGCAGAGGGGAGGUCUCUCCCCACCAUUCCUCAUGAUGAAUUUCUAGGACAAGUCGAGACAUAAGUGUCUUCCCUUGCACACUGCUAUGGGUAAGAGCUUCUCAGGUACUGUGGGUGACCUUGUGAUCUUCAUUGGGGACUCUGAGCAGCCUAGAAAUACCCGGCCCAGCUGAGCAAAGUGAGCCAAGACACCCUGGCUGCCCCAACAACAACCUUCGGAGGUCAUUGAUCCCCAGAUGGGUACAGUAGAGCACCCUGUGCUCAGGUAAGUCUGGGGACCUCUGGGUACUGUUUCCUUCUCAGAAACUCAAAAGGCACUGCAAGGAGCUGAAGCCUUUUGAGAGUCCUACAAAGCAUUGUUCGUUUAUUUCCACAUUUCCUGCUAGACAUGCACUCAAGGCUGUGUGUGUGUGUGUGUGUGUGUGUGUGUGUGUGUGUGUGUGUUUGUGCUGCAUUCACUGCAAGUGUGCUCGCUUGUGUGCGCGCAUGUGGAGACCAAAAGUCAGCAUGAAGUGUCUUCCUCUACUGCUCCCCACCUUCUUUCUCAUCAUGAACCCCAUCACACUCAUUUUCUGGUCCUUCCAUGUCCGCACCCCAACCCUGUGACCUCCCCCCAAAAACACCAAAAAAUUAAAAUUAAAAUACAAACCAA